GGACGUGCUGCCAGCUGCUUCAGAGAGCAGCAUGAGGCUUGCAGCGUCAGGAGGCAAUCCCAUGGGAGAAGCAUCUGCUAUGUUGAACCAAAUAGAGCAUCUGAGUUAGAGUUCCAACAGUGGAGUAAGAGGUCCUUGCCAUCAAAGGGAAGAUCCUGCAUCAGACACUGCGCUUCCAUGGACAGCCCAAGCAGCAGUAGCCACGACGCCCUGCGCAUGGACCGAGCAGCCGUGUCAGCUGCAUCCAAUGCUGCCUGCAGAGCAGCCUUCACAGCAGUGGCACCCUCCUCUAUGAGCGCCUUAAAUUCCUUCCUUUCGCUGUCCGGAAGGGAGGGUUCAAAUUUAGGCAGUGACCCCCACAGGUUAAACUCGUAACGGCUGAGGAGGGCUUGGUGGUUGGCCACCCGGAGCUGGAAACUGGACGACGAAUAAAGUUUCCUACCAAAUGA